AGAGCACACACGCAAACGCACACGCACACACGCAAACGCACACGCACACACGCACACGCACACAGACUCAUAGACACUUCUACACGCACAAUAACUUUGCGACGGGAGGAUCACUACGCAGUCCGGCAUUUUAUGCCACUUGUCAGCUCCACCACUUCGCAAGAGGGCGGCGGCACUGACGGAAGCGCGCAUCUGAUUCACUCGAUUUGCGCAGUCGAUGAUAGUACGCUGAUCUUUGCCAUCGCCUCCGCUGCAGGCGCCGACUCGGCGGCACGCAGCCCCUAUGAUGCAGCGCUCUUCUCCUUUUGCAAGGCGGCCGAUAGUUCUGCGAAGGCAAUCCCUCGCGGGCCGCGAACUUCGCCUUCUGGUACAUGUUGUACCGGCGCCAUUCGUGAUGUUCUUUACGCACGCUCGUUGGCAGACUCGCGUGGGGCCGACUUCUCGUCCAGCACGCACGAAGAGUGCGGUGGGUGUCCUACAGGCUGCAGCGGGGCGGAAGCAUCAAUUGGUGUCGGUAAUUCAGUGGCUCCGCCAACCUCCGGCUUGCACUCGAGACACUCAUGCUUGCUGCUGGAACACUCAGCAGCGGCUGGGGCUGUGGCGCCAUUAUCAGAGAGGCCAAGCGAUUCCUUGGCGGCCCUGCGGGCCUCGCAGUUGAUGUACCUCUUACACCGUCGCGAUGCAGAUGCAACGGCACCUCUCGCUAACGUCACCGCUGGUGCGCCACCGGCAUCUUCCCGGCCAUCCUCCCCACACCUUUCCGGUGACGCCUUGGCGGCUCUCCAUGUGGUGAGGCAGGAGGCUUGGCAGAGGUCUUCCGAUGCAUCGAAUGCGCCAACGCCGCUUGUCAUGGCUCAUGAUGCCGCAUCUGCUACCAUGAUCUCGACGGAUGUGCUGUGCUACUUCGAUUGCGGCUGCGCCGCCUUGGCGACCUUCCAGCUCACGCGCGGCUCGCCACCUGCGGAGUGGCUUGUACAGCUGGGCGGGUGCGUAUGGAUUCCGUUUGCCGCGUCGUCAAUGUUGGUACCAGGUUGCAGCGCCGGUGCGGUAAAGGGUUGGGCUUCUGCGCUGACAUGGGCGACCGGUGCUCCUCUCGUGAGCUCGCUCGUGCGGCCGUUGCCUCCCACCGCAUCACUCACCGCUUCUGCAGAUGCCCACUGCGACGGCAGCAACUCGUUGCUGGAGCUGCUCGUUGUGUGGUGCAGCCCCACUGUAGCGUCUUCCUCUUCGGCCUUUUCCUCCACUGAUGCUCGCCCUGUCGCGCGGUACGCCAGCCUGCGUUGCUGCAGCGGAAACCUGCCGACAGCGUCGGCGAUCACGAGUGCGUGGCGGCUGCAUAAGCAAGCGAUCUUUGACAUGAGCGAACUGCUGCGCCUCGCGCCGAGGCAGUCAGUGUCGAAUGAGGCUGUACACGACUCUGUUUGCUCAUGCAGCGUUCUGCCCCACGCCAGCGUGCGCGGCCUCCACUGGCUGCCUGGGACGGCCGACUUCACACAGUUGUACCCACUCCUCGCCGUGCUCUAUGCGGCCCCCACCGUUCAUUCUCGCUGCAUCAACGGCCUCAGCGGUGCUCCUCCUGAGCCGUGCCUGGACUCGCUGGCCGUGUGCUACCUUAAGGAGGAUGGUCCUCACUUGAGUGCCGCCACCGUGCCCGCCGCUGCCACUCCCCAAAAGGCUCCACCAAUGGUGAUGGGGCGUCUGCUGGUUGGGCCGUGGUCCGUGCGCGGACUUUCCUUGGCCCACCCGCAGUUUCUCUUCGCCACGGCGCUCGCUGGACGGCGCUCACCACCCUCCCGUCCUCCUCCCGCCACGAAUAAGCAGCGCGCUACGGUCUCAGCCGCCUCCGCCCCCUCGGCUGCGCAGGCGUUUCAUACCGCGCUCCACUCCUGCGCCGAUGCGGCAACUGCGGUCCUCGGCGUCUUUCAGCGUCCGGCGCAGGAGCCAUACGGGACGAGUAGCCUUUUCCGCGGCGGAGCUGACGCCGUCGUUUGCCGUGGACGCAGAGAAAGGACGUUGGCAGGCACGCAGUUCUCUGACCGCGAUGUAGUGUGCUGGAGAGAAUUCCCACACCUCCAGCGUGCGGGUAGUGAGCGGGAGGGCCUCAAAGCCCUCCGUAACUCAAAGGUAUUCGCGUUCGUGCUCUAUGGCCGCGACGGCGAGGUGGCGCGGUGCAUCCUGGACGGCUACGUAGAUGACGCACAAACGACCUGGCUGGACCCAUACAUCAUGCCGGCGAACGCAGUCGGCAGCCCACGUGCAAUUGGAGACCCGCGAGGACGCGGCGGUGAAGUGGAGAAGUGUACUGUUGCGCGUGUGUGCGCUCUUCUCUCCGAGAAGGCCCCGGCACUGUCCGCACAGAGGGUGCACUGGCACAGUGCCGUUGUGAUCACCAUUCAAGCGCAGUGGACGCGAGCCCUGCCAGUAGUGGCCGAACGUCGGCAUGACAACGAUGUCCUCACCAACGGCGGCAUCGGUGCCGGCGAACACUGGAGCUUCUCUCUGCAUCUUUCACAGAGACUGCGCUCAUCAGCGGGGCCUGGUGGGUCGCUGCACCAUUCUUGGUGCGCCGCACCUCUAGCCAUGAUGGGCCGGAUUCUGUGCUGGCGGUCUGCCGCAGCGUCCGAUGAUGUUAGCUGUCUUGUGUGUGGAUACGCAACAGCACCGCACCAUGGUGACGCCACAUCCGAUGCAGUGGAUGCUCAUCCUCAUACCCUUCUCGAGGGCGUCUUUGAGCUUCGGCUGAGCUCUUCCCUGAUGAACGGCGGUCAUGUUGAUGGCUGCCCGGCGGCAGUGACACAGGCAACGAACGCGGCCUUGGGCGUGGCGACGAGAGGAGGUGCGGCAACGUCGCAGCCGUCGGCUGCGUUAGCGAACCUUCGUCCGUGGGCGGUGGGUAUAUGCACUCGAGUCGUGUCGCCUUCCGCCUUCUCGGAUGUUCUUAGCAAGGCAAGCACCGCUGACACCUUCUCCACCGCGUUCGAUCUGCUAUCGCACACGCCCACGUUUUCGGUUGCUGUAGCGAGGCUUGGGGCAACCGUGAGUGACAGUGUGGUGCCAAUUGCGCUCGCAUGGGUUGCCGGCGAAGUCCAUGAAGCCGGCGUAGACAACCUCGCUCGAACAGCUCCACCUCUAUCCGCCACCGCUACAUCAUCCAGGUCAUCACUGCUGUCGUGUGUGAGGCAGCUGGAUGCGGUGGCGCUGCUACGCAGCGGUGAUGUUGUUGGUUGGAGAUGCGCGAGCCACUCCUCUGCUGCUGCGGUACGGUCUGCAGGCCAUCUCAGUGGUGAGGGUGCGGUGCUGCACCUUGGUGCCAUUUGCCAUGGUCUUGGGCACGACGCUGCCCCACCACUGGAGCAGCUCUUUCUAGAAUCGCUGCUGAACCGUGGGGCUGGUGCCGAUGUCGUUCACAUGGAGGUGGUGACGGCACCAGUGGAGGACAGCUCGCGACGGGUUGGCCAUCGGCAACCUAGCGCCGGCCUGCCACCGAUGGAGGUCGACAGCAGCUCGUUAGCGGGUGCUGUGACGGAGACGGCGGCGAAGAGCACGGUUCUUCUUGUGCUGGCUGUCGGAUCGCUUGUCGGAGUUGUAGACCUUGCCGCUGGAGAGGUGGUCGUCGUACAGGAUCUUCGCGCGGACUUACCCAACUUACCGGCGCGUGAGGAUGGCACAACUCAUAGUGGUGAUGCUCCAUUAGCGACUACAGAUGGCGCUAUCCGUGCCACCGCAGCAGUACUGCGCCUGCAGCGGCUUCCUGUGGCCACCCCGUGCGGAUGGAUGGCUGGUGGUGAUGCGGCUCAAGGUGCAGGCGUCGCUGUUGGCACGUCCUGGUACUUUGUUUGGCGUGGUGCCAGGGAAGGGCAGCGGGACGACUCCUUGCUGACCUUUGUGCUUCGGCUUUCGUUCCUAUGCUGGGCGGACGUCGUUUCGGCGCACGUGGGUGCGGCAAGCAGCUCUGCCACUGGUGGUGUUACCCCUGCGGUUUCCGUCCUCGACACGGAGCCUUCGCCAUUGCCCCUGGUGACACUCCAGGUGGACGCGUGCUGGGCAGAAGAGUCCGAACCGGCGGCUCGCAGCAACGUUGUCUCGUCUGCCUCUACUCCUGCCACCUCUCACUAUCUCUCACUGAGGCACGCCCCCAGCUCUGCUGCUGCGUAUGUUGGGUGGCUGCCGUGCGCCAUGGCGUGCGUUGACGGUGUUGGUCGGGCAGCACCGCGUGGCACAGCAGCAAAAACGGGGAUUGAGGCAUUUUCAGCUGAGGCAGCUGACUAUUUGCCGUUUCUGAGCGUGUGCGAUGCCGCGCUGCUGCGAUCGCUCUGGCCAGCCACGGCCACAGACGAGAUCAAAAUAUCGGUGAGCCAGAACUGUGCCCCUUCCUCUCCGCCGUCUGGCACCGUCGUCCCUCGAUGUCGGCCGCCUCUCCGGUUCCUUUGUUGGGGCGGUGUCGCGCCAAGGCCUUCACUGCCCUCAUCCUGUUUCCUUUACAAUCGAAUCGGAGCCACUUGCAUGAUGGAGCAGCUGACCGGCGGUGGGGCAGCAGCCGGAUUCGGCAUGCCACUAAACAUUGUCUAUCGGUGGCUUCUCGGUGAGAGCCGCGGCGCCAAUACCGCCUUCACGCCACCUGAGAGAGAUGGAGACGUAGACCUGCCCCACAGACUGACAUGCCGCCAGGUUCUGUAUGUGUCCACCUUGACGCUCAAUGUAGGUGCGGUCGGGGAGCGUCAUGACGAGCACGAGGCGGUGCCUCACGACAGGACGGUGUCUGGCUCGCCAACACCAGCGGCACCCGGGUCUCGACUAGCGUGCUCCUCUUUAGAUCCCACCUCGUGGCACGUGCUCCUGUGCACCUUGUUGCUCCACAAGGGCGAGCAGACCUCGAAGACAAGCGGCUCCACGAGAACCCUGUCCGGCGUGUCGGCCAGCUUUGACGUCGGCGCGGUCGCUGCUUCUGCGCCGAAGAUGGACUGGAGACAAAGUCGAGCGGCCUCGUAUCUGCUGUGCGGUGUGCCUGCGUGUGCGCCUGUCGUGCCGCCCCAGCAGCAGCCCGGCUCUGCCGCCGCAGCACACCGCUCCCCCCUCUUCACAUGGCAUUGGAUCCCGCUUUAUGUCUCCACAUCGUUCCCUGCUCCUGACAGUAGCGGUGGAGUGCAGCAGCAUAAUGUGCCGCUUGCCGUCACGCGCGUUGUUCCUUCACCAAGGCGUUCCUCGGCAGCAACACUGUCGUCCACCGGUGCGGCGACUGUGAUCGCAAAGAACGCCCACCACGAGGUGACGCCGUGCUCGUACUUCUACUGUGAAGGCAUACUGUGCAGUCCUGCUGCCGCGGCUGCGCCACAUGGCCAGCAUGCGUGCUACUGCCUGAGCGUAGAAGGCGAUCGUCUGCGGCACCUUCUCGAACGGUCUGCUAGUGCCGCGUCGACGGAGGGCAUCGAGCAAGUGUACAUGUAUACCACCGUCAACCCCGAUCUCGUGCGUGUGGUGGGUGCAUGAAUAACCCCAGCCACAUGCGCGUGCCUCGCUGAGUCACAGCGCAUGAACUGCACAGUUAAGACCGAGAAGAGGUGAAGACGAAGCAAAAAAAAAGGGGCACGCACAUGCACAUACACACGUUGCCACUCG
rnacentral:misc_RNA from 1 species